UACGUAGGGUGCGAGCGUUGUCCGGAAUUACUGGGCGUAAAGAGCUCGUAGGUGGUUUGUCGCGUUGUCCGUGAAAACUCACAACUCAAUUGUGGGCGUGCGGGCGAUACGGGCAGACUGGAGUACUGCAGGGGAGACUGGAAUUCCUGGUGUAGCGGUGGAAUGCGCGGAUGUCAGGAGGAACACCGGUGGCGAAGGCGGGUCUCUGGGCAGUAACUGACGCUGAGGAACGAAAGCGUGGGGAGCGAACAGG
rnacentral:rRNA from 1 species